UACGAAGGGGGCUAGCGUUGCUCGGAAUCACUGGGCGUAAAGCGCACGUAGGCGGAUUGUUAAGUCAGGGGUGAAAUCCUGGAGCUCAACUCCAGAACUGCCUUUGAUACUGGCGAUCUCGUGUCCGGGAGAGGUGAGUGGAACUGCGAGUGUAGAGGUGAAAUUCGUAGAUAUUCGCAAGAACACCAGUGGCGAAGGCGGCUCACUGGCCCGGUACUGACGCUGAGGUGCGAAAGCGUGGGGAGCAAACAGG
rnacentral:rRNA from 1 species